AAUUGAUUGCAGAUGCAAUAUAAUUUAAAUGCCAGUGGGAGUACUAGCUAGAGUGAUCAAAGGACCAAAUCUGAGUAGCAUAGAUAUGUGAUAACGUGGUAGAGACUCUGAAAGAUAUAGUCAGCAAGUACAGCUGUCAUGUUAGGCAGAGGAAUGGAACCAGGGAUAGAAUAGUUAAGUUCUAUUUUGGGUAAGACAAAAGAAAUAAAUGAAAGGACAAUCUGAAGGGCGCAUAAUAAAAAGGAACAAAGUUAAGAUGUAGGGUAAGCUAAUUGUUAUUAUUGGCAAGGUGAAUGACAAGGAUGAAGAACUCAAAAUGGGACCAUAUUAGUGAGAAUAGUGAUAGAGGUGUGGAAUCUAGUAAUGUGAUACUCAUAGCAUGAUGUAGUUGAGAUUGUGACAGGGGCUAAAAUAUAGAGCUUGGAGUUACAUGAUUGGAUCAUACUUUAUUUAUUCCCUAUUUCUAAAGUGAAGUGGAUAGUGAUGGGGCAAGAUUCUUUUAACUUGUUAACAGUAUCAAGAAGAUUAGGCGAGGAAUACAAUAAUAAUGAGCAAAAAGUAGACGGUAUGCGAUGAUAUUGCGGACUAUCUAAUUAGGCAGAGAAAAAGAAGUUAGUAAGUAGUAAGUUGAAUAAAAGUUAAUCUAAGGGAUCGAAUAGGUAUGAUGAGUGGAAAGAAUUAUAGAUAAUGACACAUAGGCUUUAGGUUAGAUUUUUGAGAUAGUGAAAAGGUAGUUAGAGGUUCAUUAUGA
rnacentral:misc_RNA from 1 species